AAGAUGGCGACCGGCGCACGGGUGAGUAACACGUAUCCAACCUGCCGAUAACUCCGGAAUAGCCUUUCGAAAGAAAGAUUAAUACCGGAUAGCAUACGAAUAUCGCAUGAUAUUUUUAUUAAAGAAUUUCGGUUAUCGAUGGGGAUGCGUUCCAUUAGGUUGUUGGCGGGGUAACGGCCCACCAAGCCUUCGAUGGAUAGGGGUUCUGAGAGGAAGGUCCCCCACAUUGGAACUGAGACACGGUCCAA
rnacentral:rRNA from 1 species